rnacentral:rRNA from 1 species
AUUGAACGCUGGCGGUAUGCUUUACACAUGCAAGUCGAACGGCAGCACGGGGCAACCUGGUGGCGAGUGGCGAACGGGUGAGUAAUAUAUCGGAACAUGUCCGGAAGUGGGGGAUAACGUAGCGAAAGUUACGCUAAUACCGCAUAUGCCCUGAGGGGGAAAGGAGGGGAUCGUAAGACCUUUCGCUUUCGGAGUGGCCGAUAUCGGAUUAGCUAGUAGGUGAGGUAAAGGCUCACCUAGGCGACGAUCCGUAGCUGGUCUGAGAGGACGACCAGCCACACUGGAACUGAGACACGGUCCAGACUCCUACGGGAGGCAGCAGUGGGGAAUUUUGGACAAUGGGCGCAAGCCUGAUCCAGCCAUACCGCGUGAGUGAAGAAGGCCUUCGGGUUGUAAAGCUCUUUCAGCCGGAAAGAAAUCGCACUUACUAAUACUAAGUGUGGAUGACGGUACCGGAAGAAGAAGCACC